rnacentral:rRNA from 1 species
GACGAACGCUGGCGGCGUGCCUAAUACAUGCAAGUAGAACGCUGACGGCGGAGCUUGCUUCUCUGGAUGAGUUGCGAACGGGUGAGUAACGCGUAGGUAACCUGCCUGUUAGCGGGGGAUAACUAUUGGAAACGAUAGCUAAUACCGCAUAAGAGUAGAUGUUGCAUGACAUUUGCUUAAAAGGUGCACUUGCAUCACUACCAGAUGGACCUGCGUUGUAUUAGCUAGUUGGUGGGGUAACGGCUCACCAAGCCGACGAUACAUAGCCGACCUGCGAGGGUGAGCGGCCAAGCUGGGAUGGAGACACGGCCAAGAAUCCUAGGGGAGGCAGCAGUAGGGGACUUUCGGGAAUGGAAGGAAGGCUGAACGAGCAACGCUGCGUGAGAGAAGAAGGUUUCCGGAUCGUAAAGCUCAGUUGUGAGUGAAGAACGUGUGGGAGAGUGGAAAGGUCAGACUGUGACGGUACCUGACCAGAAAGGUACGGCUAACUACGUG